AUGGGAGGGGUAGUGGUGGUUUUAUCAGGAGAGGAAGAAAGGCUUGAGUUAGCAUGUUAGCACACUCAGCCCCCUCACCAUGUGAUACCCUGCCACUCUUCAGAGAGUCCUCACCAGCAAGCAGGCUCUUACCAGAUAUGGACUUCUCAGCCUCCAUACAUUGCUUUCCUUUAUCAAUUACCCAGUUUCAAGUAUUCUGUUAUUAGCAGCAGAAAAUGGACUAAGACAGUGAAAAAGACAUUUUAAAAGGAAAAUGUAUUACUUAUAUGAACAGUUUAUCAGCCAUUUUACAUUCAUGAACACAGUAGCCCAGAUGGGCCUUUCCGUCCAGCAGGCAACAAGGCAGAUUCAUCUCUCGUGGGCUGUUGGUGUGGUGGGAGCUCCUAGGAGUGGCACCCGGGGUGAGUCCUAGAGGGUGCAGGCUCUGGCACACCAGAACAACAUGCAAAAACUCAGGUGAGAGGCAGGGCCCCGUGUAGGGGAUGGAUGUCUAAAUGCACAUCACCCAUUUGACAAAUUCAUUCCAAAGACACUGCUC
rnacentral:lncRNA from 10 species